rnacentral:rRNA from 1 species
UACGAAGGGGGCUAGCGUUGCUCGGAAUCACUGGGCGUAAAGCGCACGUAGGCGGAUUGUUAAGUCAGGGGUGAAAUCCUGGAGCUCAACUCCAGAACUGCCUUUGAUACUGGCGAUCUCGAGUCCGGGAGAGGUGAGUGGAACUGCGAGUGUAGAGGUGAAAUUCGUAGAUAGUUCGCAAAGAACACCAGUGGCGAAGGCG